UCGAGUGGGUUUAGACCCACGGCGAACGGGUGAGUAAUACCUAGGAACUUUAUUCAAGUCGAGCAUAACCUGCCGAAAGGCAGGAUAAUUCUCGAUGUGGCCGCAAGGCUAAAGUCGCAAGACGCUUGAAGUGAGGCCUGGGCACCAUCAGCUUGUUGGUAAGGUAAAAGCUUACCAAGGCUAUGACGGUUAGGGGCCCCGAGAGGGGAAACCCCCACACUGGAACUGCGACACGGUCCAG
rnacentral:rRNA from 1 species